GACGAACGCUGGCGGCGUGCCUAAUACAUGCAAGUAGAACGCUGAAGGAGGAGCUUGCUUCUCCGGAUGAGUUGCGAACGGGUGAGUAACGCGUAGGUAACCUGCCUGGUAGCGGGGGAUAACUAUUGGAAACGAUAGCUAAUACCGCAUAAGAGUAGAUGUCGCAUGACAUUUGCUUAAAAGGUGCAACUGCACCACUACCAGAUGGACCUGCGUUGUAUUAGCUAGUUGGUGAGGUAACGGCUCACCAAGGCAACGAUACAUAGCCGACCUGAGAGGGUGAUCGGCCACCCUGGGACUGAGACACGGCCCAGACUCCUACGGGAGGCAGCAGUAGGGAAUCUUCGGCAAUGGACGGAAGUCUGACCGAGCAACGCCGCGGGAGUGAAGAAGGUUUUCGGAUCGUAAAGCUCUGUUGUAAGAGAAGAACGAGUGUGAGAGUGGAAAGUUCACACUGUGACGGUAUCUUACCAGAAAGGGACGGCUAACUACGUG
rnacentral:rRNA from 1 species